UGAUACUGGAAAGAAGGAAGAGACGUGC
rnacentral:piRNA from 1 species